rnacentral:rRNA from 1 species
CCUACGGGUGGCAGCAGUGGGGAAUAUUGCACAAUGGGGGAGACCCUGAUGCAGCGACGCCGCGUGAGUGAAGACGUAUCUCGGUACGUAAAGCUCUAUCAGCAGGGAAGAAAAUGACGGUACCUGACUAAGCAGCCCCGGCCAACUGCGUGCCAGCAGCCGCGGGCAUACGUAGGGGGCAAGCGUUAUCCGGAUUUAAUGGGUGUAAAGGGGGCGUAGACGGCAGCACAAGUCUGGAGGGAAAUCCCGGGGCUUAACCCCGGAACUGCGGUGGAAACUGUGCUGCUUGAGUGCAGGAGGGGUAAGCGGAAUGCGUAGUGUAGCGGUGAAAUGCGUAGAUAUCAGGAGGAACACCGGUGGCGAAGGCGGCUUACUGGACCGUAACUGACGCUGAGGCUCGAAAGCGUGGGGAGCAAACAGGAUUAGAUACCCUUGUAGUC